rnacentral:lncRNA from 1 species
AAGCUCUCUGUGUCACAUUAUAAUUCUCUGUAUUUAUGGGCACAGUGUGACCACAAGACACAUGGGCACACUGUAAAGGCAUGAAAGUGAGCACCUAGCAUGCUCAUCUUUCAGCACGACCUAGCAUGCCCAUCUCUUUGCACACGGAUCAUUUCUUUGUGUCUCUCUGACAUUUUAAAAUAUAAAUUUAUUGAAUACUCUGCAUUUGAUAUUUGAGCACUCACACACUAGUGAGAGACAAAACAGAAGUUCAGUGUCUCUGUUAUGCUGUAAAGUCUACUGUUUUAAAUCAGAGCUUACUGAGUAUUAGGUAAGGAAAGCUCAUUUUAAAAUGUUCCAUUCCCACUGCUCCCAAGAGGGCACCAACCACGGACAAGGCAGAGAUCCCAAGAAGGCUGGAGACUGUCGCUGCUUAAGCUAUUUAAUGAGGAAACCAAGACUUGAUUUUACACCUCACACUGGCUUAGAAAUGAUCCUGUCUUUAAAAACUGACUGCAUUUACAUUCACUUGUUUUGGUUUCUUUUUGUUUGUUUGUUUUGUUUUUUGUUUUUUUAAGACAGGGUUUCUCUGUGUGUCACUGGAACUCACUCUGUAGAACAAAAUGGCCUCGAACUCACAGAGAUCCACCUGCCUCUGCUUCUUAAGUGCUGGGAUUAAAGCCACCCAUACUUGCUGCGGAUUAUGACAACAGAGAAGUAUAAAAGGGAGACAGCUGCAGCCAGGAUGCUAAUGACAACGAUUUGUCGUAAAUUGGUGUUCAGAAUUCGAGGACAGCCCACUGGAGAGAUGCUAAAAUGCCAAGAGGCAGGAAAGAGGCAGGAAAUGCCAAUCCUGAAAUUCCAAAGAAAGAGAUUUUAAAGUGACACGCUUGGCUGAGACCUGCGCUCACCUGACCAGUGUUCUGCAUGCGCUCCCCUGCUUCCUGGCUGCUGGUGGCUCUACUGAGCAUGCUCCACAGUGCUGUUUGGUUAUGCAGCACAUCACUAUAAAAUGACUUGAUGAGAAU